rnacentral:rRNA from 1 species
AUUGAACGCUGGCGGCAGGCCUAACACAUGCAAGUCGAACGAGUGGCGGACGGGUGAGUAAUGUCUGGGAACCUGCCUGAUGGAGGGGGAUAACUACUGGAAACGGUAGCUAAUACCGCAUAAUAUCGGAUGAGCCUAGGUCGGAUUAGUUAUUUGGUGGGGGAAAGGCCUACCUAGGCGACGAUCCCUAGUUGGUCUGAGAGGAGGACCAGACAAACUGGAACGGAGACACGGUCCAGACUCCUACGGGAGGCAGCAGUGGGGAAUAUUGCACAAUGGGCGCAAGCCUGAUGCAGCCAUGCCGCGUGUAUGAAGAAGGCCUUCGGGUUGUAAAGUACUUUCAGCGGGGAGGCGUUACCCGCAGAAGAAGCACCGGCUAACUCCGUGCCAGCAGCCGCGGUAAUUC